rnacentral:rRNA from 1 species
GACGAACGCUGGCGGCGUGCUUAACACAUGCAAGUCGAACGGACAGUCCCCCAUCUUGGUGGGGGUGCUCGAGUGGCGAACGGAUGAGUAACUCGUGGGUGAUCUGCCCUGUACUUCGGGAUAAUCAUGCCAAACUGGGUCUAAUACGGGAUAGGAUCUUGCUUUUAUGUCUCAUGGCGGAUAGAUUAUUGUUUUGGUACAGGAUGAGCUUGCAGCCUAUCAAGUUGUUGGUGGUCUAAUGGCCUACCCAGGCGUCGACGGGUAGCCGGGCUGAGGUGCUGGACGGGGACAGUGGGACUGAGAUGCGGCCCAGAGACCGACGGAAGGCAGCAGUGGGGAAGAGUGGAAGAUGGGGGGAAGCCUGAUGAAGGGACGACGGGCUGGGGAUGACGUGCUUCGGGUAGUAAAAUCCUUUCGUGAGUGAAGAAGCCUCGCUUUUUGGGCGUGGUGACGGGACCUUUGUGAAGAAGCACCGGCUAACUACGUG